ensembl:miRNA Mir1187 microRNA 1187
UCAUAAAGUAUUAAACCGAACUGUUUUCCUUAUAGACACAAUUUAUUUUUACACACACACACACACACAACACAUGUAAAUAACAAUGUUAAAAUAGUA